rnacentral:rRNA from 1 species
UACGAAGGGGGCUAGCGUUGCUCGGAAUUACUGGGCGUAAAGCGCACGUAGGCGGCUCUUUAAGUCGGGGGUGAAAUCCUGGAGCUCAACUCCAGAACUGCCUUCGAUACUGAAAGCUUGAGUCCGGGAGAGGUGAGUGGAACUGCGAGUGUAGAGGUGAAAUUCGUAGAUAUUCGCAAGAACACCAGUGGCGAAGGCGGCUCACUGGCCCGGUACUGACGCUGAGGUGCGAAAGCGUGGGGAGCGAACAGG